UUCUCUUUUGUAUCCCUGAAGAUUGUGGAUUACAAUGGAUUCAUGCGAGAAUAUAUUAAAUACCGAGGAGCCAAGAUUAUUGAUCUCAGCCAGGUGACAGGCCCCAAGGCCACGCAGGAGGAGAAGUGGAUCAAUUACGUUAAUGUGAUCAACUUCAUCAAGCCUUGGAGGGCAGCCGGGAAACCUUUCGUGUGUGACCGACUCUGGUUGUGGACCAGCUAAAGGAGGAAAAGAGAAAGAAAGAAAAAAAGAGAGGAGGAG